AUUGAACGCUGGCGGCAGGCCUAACACAUGCAAGUCGAGCGGAUGAAGGGAGCUUGCUCCUGGAUUCAGCGGCGGACGGGUGAGUAAUGCCUAGGAAUCUGCCUGGUAGUGGGGGAUAACGUCCGGAAACGGGCGCUAAUACCGCAUACGUCCUGAGGGAGAAAGUGGGGGAUCUUCGGACCUCACGCUAUCAGAUGAGCCUAGGUCGGAUUAGCUAGUUGGUGGGGUAAAGGCCUACCAAGGCGACGAUCCGUAACUGGUCUGAGAGGAUGAUCAGUCACACUGGAACUGAGACACGGUCCAGACUCCUACGGGAGGCAGCAGUGGGGAAUAUUGGACAAUGGGCGAAAGCCUGAUCCAGCCAUGCCGCGGGUGUGAAGAAGGUCUUCGGAUUGUAAAGCACUUUAAGUUGGGAGGAAGGGCAGUAAGUUAAUACCUUGCUGUUUGGACGUUACCAACAGAAUAGCACCGGCUAACUUCGUG
rnacentral:rRNA from 1 species